CAAUUGCCGGUGGUGUAAGAGUGAGGCGCUUGAUGAUAUGUGCUUUAACAAGGCUGAGGCCUGGAGGCUUCCCCAACAGGUCUUUGUUUGCGAUUGAUCAAGUAUCUCUCUCAUUUUAGAGAUUUUGGUAGGUAUGGAACGUAUAUGAAAUUGGAGAGCUUCGUGUUAUUGUUGUUGCUGCUUAGUGUAUUGGGUUUCUCUGUAGUUCCUUAAUGUUUCAGGGAUUAGAAAGAUUGGCAAGUCCAUUAAAGAAAUUCUUGUUUAUGUUGAUUUUGUUCUUGUUUAUUAACAUCAAACAGAGUGAUUUGUUUUUUUUGAUGUAUAUUGAUCUGGUGGCAACUAAACUUUUCUUCCAGUAUUUCUUCUUCAUUUGGUAAAUGUGUAGGAAUAGAAAGAAGUUGGGUUUGGAUCCAAGAAGGAAGUCUUGUGUUUUAGUUCAAUAAUUGAGUAAACUGAUUGAAUUUUAAUCUCCUUUUAAAACAUGUUUCUUUAAGCGAACCAACCAUAUGAUUCCUGAAGGAAAAUAAUAAUGAGAAUGUCCUGUUACAUGAGCUUCUAAAGUUGAGUGCAG
rnacentral:misc_RNA from 1 species